rnacentral:rRNA from 1 species
ACCACGCGAGUGGAUGCCAAUCCCCAAAACCUCUCUCAGUUCGGACUGGAGUCUGCAACCCGACUCCACGAAGCUGGAUUCGCUAGUAAUCGCGCAUCAGCCACGGCGCGGUGAAUACGUUCCCGGGCCUUGUACACACCGCCCGUCACACCAUGAGAGUCUGUAACACCCAAAGCCGGUGGGAUAACCUUUAUAGGAGUCAGCCGUCUAAGGUAGGACAGAUGAUUAGGGUGAAGUCGUAACAAGGUACC